UAGGAGUUGUUUGAUAGGAUUAUC
rnacentral:miRNA from 1 species